UACGGAGGGUGCAAGCGUUAUCCGGAAUCACUGGGUUUAAAGGGUGCGUAGGCGGCUUGAUAAGUCAGAGGUGAAAGCUAGCAGCUUAACUGUUAAAUUGCCUUUGAUACUGUUGAGCUUGAAUCAGGUUGAGGUAGGCGGAAUGUGACAUGUAGCGGUGAAAUGCAUAGAUAUGUCAUAGAACACCAAUUGCGUAGGCAGCUUGCUGGGCUUGAAUUGACGCUGAGGCACGAAAGCGUGGGGAUCAAACAGG
rnacentral:rRNA from 1 species